GCCACCAGAACAAGGGUCCUGCGCCGUGU
rnacentral:piRNA from 1 species